rnacentral:rRNA from 1 species
UACGAAGGGUGCAAGCGUUGUUCGGAAUUACUGGGCGUAAAGGGUGUGUAGGCGGUUACGUAAGAUAGCGGUGAAAUGCCGGGGCUCAACCUCGGAACUGCCGUUAUAACUAUAUAACUAGAGUGACAGAGAGGAUAUUGGAAUACCCAGUGUAGAGGUGAAAUUCGUAGAUAUUGGGUAGAACACCGGUGGCGAAGGCGAGUAUCUGGCUGUCAACUGACGCUGAGGCACGAAAGCAUGGGGAU